AACGAACGCUGGCGGCAGGCUUAACACAGGCAAGUCGAGCGCCCCGCAAGGGGAGCGGCAGACGUGUGAGUAACGCGUGGGAAUCUACCUUUUGCUACGGGAUAGCUCCGGGAAACUGGAAUUAAUACCGUAUGUGCCCUUUGGGGGAAAGAUUUAUCGGCAAAGGAUGAGCCCGCGUUGGAUUAGCUAGUUGGUGGGGUAAAGGCCUACCAAGGCGACGAUCCAUAGCUGGUCUGAGAGGAUGACCAGCCACACUGGGACUGAGACACGGCCCAGACUCCUACGGGAGGCAGCAGUGGGGAAUAUUGGACAAUGGGCGCAAGCCUGAUCCAGCCAUGCCGCGUGAGUGAUGAAGGCCCUAGGGUUGUAAAGCUCUUUCACCGGUGACGAUAAUGACGGUAACCGGAGAAGAAGCCCCGGCUAACUUCGUGCCAGCAGCCGCCGUAA
rnacentral:rRNA from 1 species